GACGAACCGUGCAAACGUUAUUCGGAAUCACUGGGCAUAAAGGGCGCGUAGGCGGCUCCAAAAGUCAGGGGUGAAAUCCGGCAGCUUAACUGUCGCAGUGCCUUUGAUACUGUGGAGCUAGAGGGAUGUAGGGGUCUGUGGAACUUCCGGUGGAGCGGUGAAAUGCGCAGAUAUCAGGAGGAACACCAAUGGCGAAGGCAGCACUCUGGGACGUGACUGACGCUGAGACGCGAAAGCGUGGGGAGCAAACAGG
rnacentral:rRNA from 1 species